rnacentral:rRNA from 1 species
AGUGAACGCUGGCGGUAGGCCUAACACAUGCAAGUCGAACGGCAGCACAGUAAGAGCUUGCUCUUACGGGUGGCGAGUGGCGGACGGGUGAGGAAUACAUCGGAAUCUACUUUUUCGUGGGGGAUAACGUAGGGAAACUUACGCUAAUACCGCAUACGACCUACGGGUGAAAGUAGGGGAUCUUCGGACCUUGCGCGAUUGAAUGAGCCGAUGUCGGAUUAGCUAGUUGGCAGGGUAAAGGCCCACCAAGGCGACGAUCCGUAGCUGGUCUGAGAGGAUGAUCAGCCACACUGGAACUGAGACACGGUCCAGACUCCUACGGGAGGCAGCAGUGGGGAAUAUUGGACAAAGGGCGCAAGCCUGAUCCAGCCAUACCGCGUGGGUGAAGAAGGCCUUCGGGUUGUAAAGCCCUUUUGUUGGGAAAGAAAAGCAGCAGGUUAAUACCCCGCUGUUCUGACGGUACCCAAAGAAUAAGCACCGGCUAACUUCGUG